GAUAAUAGUCCUAAUGAUACUAGUUUGGUGUUGUAUAUAUUGUUUUUUUCCUACAAACUUGGUCAAAGUUGACAAAGUUUGACUUAGGACAAACCCAAAUGUAUAGACAUUUUUAAACAGAGGGAGAAAGCUAUAUGCGAGGAGCUCCACAGAAAGGAUUCAGCUCAUUACCCUUCACUAUUUCUGAAAAUAGGUUGUUCAUUUGUUACACCCGUUGUACUUUAAGAAAGGAAAGAUGCAGACAUUUUACUUUCAAGAUUGUGAACACUAUAGCAAUAGCAUGGAUCAAAGCAAUGAUAAAGCUCAUGAAAACAGGGAAGCAGGC
rnacentral:lncRNA from 1 species